GAUGAACGCUGGCGGCGUGCCUAAUACAUGCAAGUCGAGCGAACAGACGAGGAGCUUGCGCCUCUGACGUUAGCGGCGGACGGGUGAGUAACACGUGGAUAACCUACCUAUAAGACGGGGAUAACUUCGGGAAACCGGAGCUAAUACCGGAUAAUAUAUUCAACCGCAUGGUUCAGUAGUGAAAGACGGUUUUGCUGUCACUUAUAGAUGGAUCCGUGCCGCAUUAGCUAGUUGGUAAGGUAACGGCUUACCAAGGCAACGAUGCGUAGCCGACCUGAGAGGGUGAUCGGCCACACUGGAACUGAGACACGGUCCAGACUCCUACGGGAGGCAGCAGUAGGGAAUCUUGCGCAAUGGGCGAAAGCUUGACGGAGCAACGCCGCGUGAGUGAUGAAGGCCUUCGGAUCGUAAAACUCUGUUAUUAGGGAAGAAAAAAUGUGUAAGUAACUAUGCACGUCUUGACGGUACCUAAACAGAAAGCCACGGCUAACUACGUG
rnacentral:rRNA from 1 species